CUUAGGGCUGCUUGCAGCUGGACAGUGAGGGAGUGAUUGGGCUGUGGCACAGUAUUUGUGCCCUGUUUGAGGGUUGUGGAAGUUUGGUCUUUGUUUUUGCCUCCAGCAUGGCGGGAUCUGGGGCUGUUUCUUGAUGCUAGUCUCAUCUCCAUCCUCCAAGUGGGUCUGUGCUGGCUUUUCUCUGCAUCUGUCUGUGUUGCACUGGUGGUGCCAGUUUCCAGUUCUACAGUAUGUUGUCAGCAGGAUCAGAGCUGGACCUGCAGGGUAUGUAUAAAAGAUUAUAUUCCACUGCUUGCAUAUGAAGAUAUUGCAUUCC
rnacentral:lncRNA from 1 species